AAAUCAAUUUUAUUAUUAAUAAUUUAUUUUUUCUUUUACAUAGAAAUGUUAAUUUUAAUUGUUUUU
rnacentral:tRNA from 1 species